UACGUAGGGGGCAAGCGUUGUCCGGAAUCAUUGGGCGUAAAGCGCGUGUAGGCGGCUCGGUAAGUCCGCUCUGAAAGCCCGGGGCUCAACCCCGGGAGGCGGGUGGAUACUGUCGAGCUCGAGUCCGGAAGAGGCAAGUGGAAUUCCCGGUGUAGCGGUGAAAUGCGCAGAUAUCGGGAGGAACACCAAUGGCGAAGGCAGCUUGCUGGGACGGUACUGACGGCUGAGGCGCGAAAAGCUAGGGGAGCAAACGGGG
rnacentral:rRNA from 1 species